rnacentral:lncRNA from 1 species
GUAAAGUUUAGGGUUUUUGCUACAAUUUUUGUGCAAAUUUUAUAGGGUUUGGAAUUAGAGUGAAUAAGUUAUAGCUGUUUGAAGUUAAGGUGUCAAUUUGAGACCUACUAUUACUCUUUUGAGUUUAAGAGGAGUCUUACGGAAGCUUUUGGAGAUCGGAAGAUGCAACUAAAAGAAAAACUUCAAGACAUACAUCUUUUGCGAAGGAGAUUUUGCAUUUGGAGUUUAUGUGAAGGAGUUAUAGGAAGUUAAAGACAGCGCAUUCAAAUCAAAGGCAGUAAGUGAGCGGUUUUGUUCAAAGUAGUGUUAGGAGCCAUAACUUGAGUUUUCGAACGAAAUUUUGGCUCAAACUUUGGGAGAAUGUAAAAAUUUGUGUUAAGAAGCUAUCAAUAUAAGUUUCGUGGCAUUUGGACUUAU